UUUUUCUUGUCAAAGUUUUCAAGAGUCUGGACUCUAGAUCCAAUGUGAUUUUUUCCCCCCAGUGAGGGGUUCACGAGUUUUUCAAUAUUUGGGAAAGAACAACUUUUCAAAUCCGCGAACUCUCCUCGUUUAUUACUUUUGACACGCCUUGAGUAUAUGUAAAAGUUAGCGUAUCCAAAUUUUUGUCUCUUUGUUUCUGCAUCACUUUAUCAUAUGCAACCAGGUUUGGACACCGUUCUGGUGCUGCACCAUUCGAUGAAGGGGGGAGGGAGGGAGGAAAUUAUGCUCUUUUAGUGGGAUUAAGUGUCUUAUUUAUUGGUUUUAUUUCAGGUGAAAUUACCAGCAAUGUUGUUGCCGUGUAUGUGUUCCUCCUCUUUGUGCCCACGGCAACAUUGUCUGGGAAGAGAAAGCGGAAGUCAGCUGAGAAUCAGUCUGAUGACACCGUGGUCAACAAUAAAGUUUGGCGACCCUCUCGCGAUGAGGUUAGGAACACCACAAUGUACAACUUUACCGCAAAAAAUAACUAAAAAAAAAGAAAUAGAAGUUGAUAGCUCACCCUCUCCGCCUCCUAAAAUCAAGUCCAGAUCAUCAACUGGAUCUGGCUCGUCGACUGCAUCUGGCUCAUCAACGUCCAUUUCUUCUUCCGAUUCAAGAUUCAUCAUAGCUUUGGUAGAAAGAUACCUAAAUAAACAAGAAAGAAAGUCUUUACUACCUACUAACUAAAGGUGAAAUACACCAAAGCAGAAAGGUAAUGUUCUACACAUUGCAGCUCAAGCACUUACAGCCUAGAAUGAAUGAAGUACCUGGAUAAAUGACAUUUCUCCGAUAUUAAGCUCAUAACUGUAAAAUACUGAUGGACCUUCCAUAUCAAAAUGGAUUAAGACUAACAUUGCGAAGGAUUUCAAUCAGUCAAUUUAAAGUUAGGUUUCCUGUGAAAUAAUUUCAGUUCAUGUUAGGUACACACUCAUCUCAGUACGUAAAACCAGAAGCAAGUCUUGAUCUUUUCUGAACCUGCCCAAAGACAUUAAACUAAGCAGGUAGAUGAUGCAUUUCCUUAUCUUGCCACACUGGUGCUCCGUGAUCCUUCUCCCUGCAACUUAAGGAUGUGUGAGAGGACUUUCUGUUGAAUGAUGCUGUGUGCCUAUCAUCCAAACUACUUUCCCCAGUUAAAACACAAAAAACAAGCGACCAAACCAUCACCUGACCAAUAUAGAAUUGGGGGAUUUUAUGGAUCAUGGACAUUCAGAUAGAGAGGAUAAAAGGUUCAAAAGGAGGUUAGGAUGCAACAAAAUGUGAUGCGGUACUUAAUAAAGCUAUUUAACUUUCGAUGUCAUCUUUCGUACUUAGGCAAUGAUGCUUCGGACAGGCUUGGGCUUAUUCAAAACUUACCUGCUCUGUGAAAAAAUCAGACUGAUAAUGUCCUUUCACUCCAACCGUGAAACAAAACAGCCUGGCAGAUACUGCCCCAUCAUAUCAAUGUAACGUACUUAUCAUUGAGGUAUCUAAGUGAAACCUGAUGGCAACUAGGACCUACUUCUUCGUGACCCUCAGACAGUACUUGAACUGGUGGCGAAGCAGUCGUUUUCAAAUUUGGUUGUGCCUUGGAAAUGUGAAUUGGCCUCAUACGUAAGAUGAGGCUACAGCAAAGCGAACUGUUUAGCUAUGCUGUAUGCAACACACUCGUUGGAUCUUUUGUUCCUUGAUGUUGCAUAGAAAUAAACACAUCUUUAUUCGCCACCUCCUUCAGAAUUUCCAUCAUGUUUUUUUAUCGGGGUUGGAGCAAGUAUUAAACCACUGUUAUAAACUGAACUACUGAGAUGGUGAGCAGAGAUCAUUGACGUGUAAUACAAUCUAAACCGCGCAUUGGGCCCGACUUUAGGCGGGGAAGGUAAGACAGCUAGGGGGGUAAAGACGCGCCUUCAGCCUAGUUGAAACCGCCGGAUAUACGAGCUAAGUGUACCCGUAUCAGGCAACACCACUGAUAGGACUGGCAUUUCAAUUGUCUCAGUACGUAUUGCCGGUUCACUUACUGGGUGUUGCUGGGUUGCCUAUCGUCUCGCCUGAAGGGACUCUAGUCUUGCCGAAAUUACCUAAUGCGCGGUCUAGAUUGUAUUAUACGUCAAUGACAGAGAUGUGAAUGGAGAGGGUUUACAAAGAUGCUAAUUAGUGUCGAGAAGGGCAGUGAUGACUAGGCCAAUGCCAGUGAAGUGAACUGUGAGGAAAACUAAUAGGCACUGCAUAACACUCGUAGUACGGUGCCCAGCACAACAUUCUAGAAAAGAUUAAGAACCCUGGGUAGAGUCCACGCCACCAUAAUUCUAACAGGCUAGGAUGGCGGUUCAAGGUCAGUUGGCAAUAAUUAGAGGAAUCAAGAGAGCCUAUCUUAAACCUCACUGUAAGGGAUGUAGAUUUGCUUCAAGUGGACCCCAGCUCUAUAUCUGGUGGGAGACAGGUACGACAUGAACAUGAAACUUGUUCACAGGGUCCGUCACUGCCAUCCAGCAACUCUUUCGGCAGACAAGACAAAACUACGGGCGAUUCAAUCCUGUCAGCAAAGACGCGACUAUUUCUAGCAGAAAUCCUGGAGCGAUGACACACUGGAAUGAGAAGAUGGUUUGAGAGAGGACUAGAAAUCAGGAGAGGUAACCACAACGGCGUGUGACUCUCCGAAAGAUGAUGCUUCCAGAGUUGCUGUCAUUGACUGAAACUUGGGUUACACAUUGCACCAAUUGCAUUAGCUGACAGUCGAGAGUGCAACAGGAUAAGAAUCAGAUCUUCUAUUAGAUUGUAGAGUUCAUCGACACACAAAAACUCAAGUUGAAGAGCCCAUGUGCUCGGAAAACAUAGUCCCCGAGAGCACACAGACUUUGAGAGGAAAGAAUCUACUGAGACAAUAACUUACCAGUGUCAGUUAGUUAUAAUUUCUCGAAAUAGUCGUAUCUUGCUUCGAUUACAGUAUUCACUGGAUCAAUCAGCGCAAACUUGUGUAAUUACACUAAAUUUAAAUUGCUACCGUCAAGAUAAGACAAACACUCACACGCGUUAGCCAAACGCACAUGAAAAUGCAAAUGGCGUCGCCGAGCAGUCUCAACAGGUUGCGGCUUGAACAAGGCAUUUCCCGCCAUUUCGAGUCGUAUUCGCGUUCCCAUUGGCUGUCGUAGUUGUCCUUUGUUAUGAAUACCCGCAUCUUUGAAACCAUUUCCGCCGCACGCCGUUUCCGGCGGAAAUAACAGGCGAGGGGGGAGGAACGCUGAAUUACACUCAAAAAAUGUGCGUGGAUCUCGUUGCAGAUGAGCUUACUCUUUUCAUCUGCUCGUUUCAAUGGCAGCUAUGGUAUCUACGCAAGUGGAUGAAAGAUGUAGACUCUGUCUUAAACGAGGUAUACACAAAUAAAGCAUAGUUAAAGCAAUAAAAAAAAUAAUAAAUGUGCACCACGCUAUUAACCGCAGUAGCAAUGACCUGUUGAGAAAAACUUUCAAAACCUCUCAAAAAGCUGUUAAAAUAUUCAUUUGUCGAAUUCAUUCGUUGCCUAUUUUUUAAGUAUAAUUCAACUAUUCGUGAAAUUUACUUGAAUACAGACUUUAAAAAGUAACUUCUUUUUGAACGUUAAUUAACAUUUCUCAAACAUUUUAAAUGUUGAACAACUACAGCUGAUAUUUAAAAAGUUUUCCAACACUAUUCUACUUAACCUCACGCUUUCAUGUAGUUUUCUUGAAGAAAUGCCCCCCCCCCCCCAAAAAAAAAACACUAUACAAAAAUACGAAUAUUUCAGCAGUUUUUUGAAGAGUUGACUUUUUUCUUUACAUGUUCUUGAAAGGCUUGUUUAAAAAUUAUUGCUACUAAGGUAGCAUGGUGUAGGAUUAGUGUAGUAUUAUUUCUACCUUACUUCCAAUAUUGCUGCAAUGUUUAGGAACAUCCUCCCUAGCAGUAGCACAUCAACAAUCUUUAAUAUUUGUUUUACCAAGAUAGGUAUAAUGUGGCUGCAAUGUAAAAAUCCAAGAUUUUCAUUAAUGAACUUCAUAAGGUUGCAUUAUAAGCUUUGUAGGUACUGAAAGAAGGAAAUUUUUGUGAAGAAGUUAUUUUGAACUUGUUCUGCAGAGAAAUAAGUGUCAAAAUUUAUGAGGCAUUUCACUUGAUGUGAUUUUUCCUUUAUUCCUUUUCAAAGUUUUGUUUCUUUCUUUCUCUUCCUAUUUUUUUUUUCUGCAACCUUAAAAAAGAUACAAAGGAGAGAUGGGUGAAAAAAAUCAAGGUCAAUAUUCAAUGCUCAAAACGGUUAGCUCAAAAUGAUAUUGAUGCCACCUUUUUCCUGAAGUAUAAUUUUAGUUCUGCGACACCUGGUUUGAUAAUGAUGCAGAGAUAGUCAAAUCAGGCAGAUUAAUAAAUGCCUGGAGCAGUUGGUCAAACUUUACAGAGGUCUUUUAUGCAUCCAACAAAGAUUUCAAGAUUUAGAAUAUUCUUUGAAUAAAAUUUAAUGUAUUGAUUUUACUUUGUUACUACUUGCUGGAAUUUUCUUAGCUAAUUUUUCUUUCUAGGUCAUUGAUACUUCGUCACACAAAAUUUUGUAUACUACUUUGUACAUACACCAAAAAACAUUUGUAGAUAUCUUUUCACAGACCGAAAUUUUUUGGAGGUUCUUUACCUACAGAGAUUGAUUUUCUCCUGGCAGAACUAAUCACACAUCUUAAAAUGCCGUUUAAAAGGGACUAAAGAAAAAAAAAUUACCUUCCAAGUGGAUUUUGCCGAGCUCACCGAAAUACAAAUUAACGGAAAAAUAGGAUAUCCUUAACAUCAUGAUUGUAUGAAAUAGCUUGAAAUAAAAGCGUUGUAACUAACUUUUUAGAGAAAAUGGAACUAUUCAUAUUUUUAAAAUAGCUUAGUGGGGCCCUAUAAGUAUGAUCACAUUUGUUAGAAAUCUCUAACACAAGGCACAAGAUGCUAAGCUUCAAACAUUUUAAAUUACAUUGGAAGCGGUGCAUCUGUUGGGCAAUUUAUGAACGGUAGCUUGAAACGAAAAAACUAUAGUUAUAACCCUUCUGCUUUAAUCUACUGAUGUAAACCAUGUCAUUUCUUUUACUAUUUUUUGUUUCCCAAUCUUUCGAGUUCGAACUCAUUUUAAUGACAAACAACACAGCUCUUUUGAAGGGUCAUGGAGAAUUAAUCUUCAUUUGAGGAGUGUAUUCUUACAUCAUAUUCCAACAACUGUUCCUCUUCAAAGCAUUUCCCUCUGCUUUUGAAGGUAUGACUUCAAUGUGUUUUAAGGGAAUUUUUCAAGCAUGCGUUUUGAUUACUCAUUUUUCAGUAAGAUCAGAAAAAUAUGUUCUUUUCAAAGUUUGAAUUAACAUGAGGUCAUUGAAUGUCAGGUGUGGACUGUCAGGAGGUGCUAGAGGAUGGCAGUGCCCCUGGGAGGGGAGAACUCUUUUGUGAAAAAGAGUGUGGGUAUGAAUCAUGAUGAAGGAUUCAUCAUGACUGAGUAGCCACACAUUUCAUUUUCUCAAUGAUAUAAGAGAGAUUACCAUUACACAUGCCAUAAAAAAACUUGUGUAAUACAUAAUUACAAUGUUUAAAAGAGGUUCGGUGAUGAAAAUUGCAUGUACGUAUUGCAAAAGGUACAAGGGGCAUUCACUCGUUGAAUAAGCAUACGUACAUCUCUUGAAUUAGUUCCAUUUACUAAACAGUGAUAACUCAGAAUUUUCAUUGAACAGAAAAUGUAUGAUGGGUUUAAGCAAAAGACUUUGUCUCAGACAACUGAAAAAAGGCUACAAUUUUGUAAAACAUAAGAAGUUUUGUACAUUUCAUGUUAAAACUUGUAUUGAAAAACUCGAAAAA